rnacentral:rRNA from 1 species
UACGUAGGUGGCGAGCGCUGUCCGGAUUUACUGGGCGUAAAGGGAGCGUAGGCGGACUUUUAAGUGAGAUGUGAAAUACCCGGGCUCAACUUGGGUGCUGCAUUUCAAACUGGAAGUCUAGAGUGCAGGAGAGGAGAAUGGAAUUCCUAGUGUAGCGGUGAAAUGCGUAGAGAUUAGGAAGAACACCAGUGGCGAAGGCGAUUCUCUGGACUGUAACUGACGCUGAGGCUCGAAAGCGUGGGGAGCAAACAGGAUUAGAUACCCCGGUA